rnacentral:rRNA from 1 species
AGCUCCAAUAGCGUAUAUUUAAGUUGUUGCAGUUAAAAAGCUCGUAGUUGGAUUUCGGGUAGGGGGCGCCGGUCCGCUUCGGUGUGCACUGGCGGCCCAUAUCUUCUUGUCGGGGAUGCGUGCUGGUCUUCAUUGAUCGGCCGCAGAGUCGGCGCAGUUACUUUGAAAAAUUAGAGUGUUCAAAGCAGGCUUUCGCUUGAAUACAUUAGCAUGGAAUAACAUGAUAGGACUCCGUUCUCAUUGUGUUGGUCUUCGAGACUGGAGUAAUGAUUAAGAGGGACAGUUGGGGGCAUUCGUAUUUCAUUGUCAGAGGUGAAAUUCUUGGAUUAACGGAAGAUGAACUUCUGCGAAAGCAUCUGCCAAGGAUGUUUUCAUUGAUCAAGAACG